GAGGGUUUGGUGAGAGAGAGAGAGAGAGAGAGAAACACCUCCAUUGCUUUCAUAUGCUUUAGCAGGAUAAAUCAAGCAGUAAAUAUAUGCUCCUGCUUUUGAACACUAGGCUAAUUAACUUGAUCUGUGCUUCCCUCUUUCAGAUAAAGUGCAGCAGCAUAUCUGUUAUCUUGGAAUAAAAUCAGAGCUAGGUCAUCAGCUGAAUGCUUUUGAUUUGAAUUCAUGUCCAGCGUGCUAAGAAAAGAGAAUAUAUCAUCCUCAAGCGAAAGAUUGAGCCAUCGAUUGAUCCCAUUGGUCGUUCCAUGAACCUCAAGCACCUACCUCUUAUCUUUUCGAACAUUCCAUCAAUCAUGCGUGGACCAUAAACUAAGAGGGAAGGAGGGGGGCUGUGCUCUUCCAAGCCGUAGAAAACCAAAGCUUAAGAGCCACGGGGACCCAAAUGUUAUAUCCCAGGUAAGGUAAAUAGAUGAAUGCUCCAAUCAUGGGAAAAGGGCUGCGAAACACAGGGAAAUGGACUCCACCGCGGAAAGAGAGAAGGAACCCAUUGAUGUAGCUUUCACUGAGGUAGACUUGCGAGAGCAUGAUAAGGAUUCUAAGUAUUGUGGUGUAUUUUAUCGAGAUUCCUUGCGCAUUUACCUGGCCACCCGGGUCUAUUUAUUUAUUCGGGCCCUUCCUGAGCAUUUGAGUGAGAGCUAGUUUCCAUACAUGUCUAACCCCACACUAGCUCCUAGCAUAUUCCCUCUCGAACUUACCUUGUUGUAGCUGCAUCCGUAUUUUCAAAUUAAAAAUAUCAUUUUCAUGCUUUUGAUUU